UGAACUCUGGGAUAAGCACUGGAAACGGUGUCUAAUACUGGAUACGACCUAUCACCGCAGGGUGUGUGGGUGGAAAGAUUUAUCUAUUUUGGAUGGACUCGCGGCCUAACAGCUAGAUGGUGGGGUAAUGGCUCACCAUGGCGACGACGGGUAGCCGGCCUGAGAGGGUGACCGGCCACACUGGGACUGAGACACGGCCCAGACUCCUACGGGAGGCAGCAGUGGGGAAUAUUGCACAAUGGGCGCAAGCCUGAUGCAGCAACGCCGCGUGAGGGAUGACGGCCUUCGGGUUGUAAACCUCUUUUAGUAGGGAAGAAGCGAAAGUGACGGUACCUGCAGAAAAAGCACCGGCUAACUACGUGCCAGCAGCCGCGGUAAUACGUAGGGUGCAAGCGUUGUCCGGAAUUAUUGGGCGUAAAGAGCUCGUAGGCGGCUUGUCGCGUCUGCUGUGAAAUCCCGGGGCUCAACCCCGGGCCUGCAGUGGGUACGGGCAAGCUAGAGUGCGGUAGGGGAGAUUGGAAUUCCUGGUGUAGCGGUGGAAUGCGCAGAUAUCAGGAGGAACACCGAUGGCGAAGGCAGAUCUCUGGGCCGCUACUGACGCUGAGGAGCGAAAGCAUGGGGAGCGAACAGGAUUAGAUACCCUGGUAGUCCAUGCCGUAAACGUUGGGAACUAGAUGUAGGGCCUGUUCCACGGGUUCUGUGUCGUAGCUAACGCAUUAAGUUCCCCGCCUGGGGAGUACGGCCGCAAGGCUAAAACUCAAAGGAAUUGACGGGGGCCCGCACAAGCGGCGGAGCAUGCGGAUUAAUUCGAUGCAACGCGAAGAACCUUACCAAGGCUUGACAUAGCCGAAAACGCUGUAAAAAUACAGAACUCUUUGGACACUCGGUUACAGGUGGUGCAUGGUU
rnacentral:rRNA from 1 species